ensembl:snRNA U6 U6 spliceosomal RNA
GUGCUCGCUUCAGCAGCACAUAUACUAAAAUUGGAACGAUACAGAGAUUAGCAUGGCCCCUGCACAAGGAUGACAGGCAAAUUCAUGAAGCGUUCCAUAUUUUA